CCUGGCUCCAGUUACCCUGUCCCAUCUGAAUCUGCUCUUGACUACCUCAUGGUGGAACAGAGUUCAUCAGCGGAUGAGACUGGAGAGGAUCUUCAGCCUAAUGAACCAGCAAGCUGGGGUCUGACUCAUGACCAGAUCGAAUAUCGGUAUAGGACCAGACAGGAUAGAGUGGCCAUCAUGUACUCGGGCCCUUUGACUUCCGUUGUCCCAGCUAAAUGGGCCUUUGACCACCUGAUGGGUGGGGUAGAGUGCGAGGAGCAGAACAGUUGUCCGUAUACCAUCGUCUUCUACUGACAGCCAAGCCACCUGCUACAUCUACUACCACUCAACUGCUCAGCUGCCCUCUGACUAAAUUACAUGACA